GCUGGAUCUCCUGUCGUGCCUCCUUCAGGGCCAGCUGAGCCUCCACACGGUGACAUUCUUCCUCCACCCAGUCCUCCUGCAUCCUGUACAGUCGUCCUCUCAGCUCGUCGAUCUCUGUGUCCCUGAAACGUGUGGUAAUGGUUUCUUUGAGCUUGGCCCGCAAGUGUCUGAUACACACCUCCUUCUGCUGCAGAGGAGUGAGAUACUGCUCUGGUGGAGGGGGUCGAAUACCAUGGUUGUCUGUACAUGAUGUGUACUUUUGGUUGCGCCUAGGACACAAAAGACAACAGAACAGACCCCAUGCUGGAGCCACUGCAGUGACAUGAAUCUGUGAUCCACGGAGGAAAACCACUGUGAUGCUGUUCAGAAGAGCAAGGAAAAGAGAGAAGUUCAAAGCAGAUACACAAACAUGCAGGCACAACACAGAACUGCCCCAGUACACAAAGAGGUUUUCACACAUCCAGACAUCAAAGACACUUUCGUCCGUGGCAGGAAGAGAACACACGUUUAGUUGUGCACAGAUGGUGACGGUGCAGUUUUUUUGAGGAUGGUAAUGUGCUGUGGAAAAGAUGUAAAAACCAAACCAAAUGCUGAAAGUGACCCAAAAAAACAUCAAUUAGGAGACGGAAGUAUAUGAACCACAGGAGAGUGUGUCAAAUAAAAAUGACAGUGGACAGAUAAUAACUAUCCAAAUCACAACUAUGGAUGAGACAAUACAAAAGUAAAAAAAUAAAAAAUCAAAACCAGCUACAAUGAAUUCAUGCUCUAGUUGCCAUUUAGUUCACUGACACACGAUAACACCCAUAAGGACAGAGACUGCGUUGUUUACAACAUUGCUUUUUUUCACCAACAUAUAUUUAAGCCACUUUAAUGUGAUGCUUUCAGUUAGAAAAUCAAAUGUAUUCAGAUGCUGACAGUGAUGUCUUUUUUUACUUUGUCCUUACCAGAGAGCAGUCUAAGUUUUAUUCUGUAUUGUUUAACUGUUAACUGUUUUUUUAAAGUUACUUAUGGAUCCCACAAUGGAGAAAUUUACAGUGUUGACAGCAGAUUUGCUGCAACAGGCUGCGACGUGGGAGGCGCCACACACAAGACCAUCUGCGUAAGGCAGGCAUGAUAACCACUCCACUAAGGAACCAGAGCUUUUAAGUUGAAGACCUCCAGCUUCCCAGGUCUCUUUUCCAGCCUUCAAUUCUUCUUCUAUCCGAAAACCACAAUGUCACCUCAGAACAUCAUCAUCCAUGGAACCACAUGCCUGACCUCAUCUGUCAGACAUACAUGGGCUGUGCUGUAAUGCUGCUGGAGCCUUCAUUUCCUGAAGGGAACUCCCAAAGGAGAAAUAAAGUUAUAUCUAUCCAUCUAUCCAUCUAUCCAUCUAUCCACUAAAUUGCAAAACAUAGUUAUGACAAAACAAUGUUGAUUUCAUAUUGUAAAAGAACUCUGAUUGAAAAAUCAUAAUCACAAUCAAUAUGGAAGUCAUGCUUAUUUAAUCUGAUUAUUCAUUGACUUUGAAAACACAUUGUAUUUUUUCCACUGCCUAUUCACAGGUCAAAAAUCGAUGAAAUAGGACCAGGACGAUCUGCUGAUGUACCAAACUUAAACACACCGUCCCAACGUGGAGGCACAGAUAUCAAUGACCUUGUCCACAUUGUCACCACGUGCACAGUUCAGGCUGAUCCUGCAGAGUCACCGUCAUGCUGCAGUAGAUGCAGAGCACCUCAGAUCCAGCAGAGCACAGCUAUGCCAACAGUCAACAACAACAACAACAACAUACAGAGAGUGAAAGGAAAAAGUGGAAGGGAAACUACAAGGAAGCGCAUUCUACAGAAAGGCUGUUGGACCUACGUACAGUAAAUGAUACUUCAGAGUAUUCCAGGUAAGUCGUUUCUCGAGGUUCCACUGUAUACUAAUUAUUUCUGGAAAUUAUUUCUCAGAAAAUAAAAAUCUGAAUGAAAAUGCACUAAUUUGCUUUCAGAUUAAGCAAUUAAGCAUUAAGCACAUUAAACAUUAAGCACAUUACGCAAUGUGCUUAUGUAUCAUUAAAAUUCAUGAAAUUUUAUUUUGGAAGCUCAACCUUUGAUCCACAGCAACAAAAUAUAUAAAUAUAUAAAUGGACAUGCUAAUAGAUGUUUUGUAACGACUAAAAAAUGUGUAUUUAAAUGUAUAUGUUUAUUAAUAAUAAAAUAAAUAAAGGAAAAGUGUCAAUGACUCAAGUUCUUUAAU